rnacentral:rRNA from 1 species
CGCGACCCCAGGUCAGGCGGGACUACCC